rnacentral:rRNA from 1 species
UACAGAGGUGGCAAGCGUUGUUCGGAAUUACUGGGCGUAAAGGGCGAGUAGGUGGCCAUCUAAGUCAGACGUGAAAUCCCCGGGCUCAACCUGGGAAUGGCAUUUGAGACUGCAUGGCUAGAGUGUGUCAGAGGGGGGUAGAAUUCCACGUGUAGCAGUGAAAUGCGUAGAUAUGUGGAGGAAUACCGAUGGCGAAGGCAGCCCCCUGGGAUAACACUGACGCUCAAGCACGAAAGCGUGGGGAGCAAACAGG